AUAAUCGAAGGGCUUCCAGCGUAGGGCGUAGGGGGAGAGGCCCGAAGCCCUGGAGACAGCGCCCGAGGGAUGGAGGCCGCGCUCGGCUGCGCUCAGGUCCGGGUGGCUCCGGGAGCUGAGACCCCGCAGGAUGCAGCGGGGGGGGGCCAGGGCCUGAUCCCCUACCCCUGCGAGCCAGGGCCGCCUACGCCCCCACUGCUUCCCACAGGACACAGCAAGAGGCAACAUUUUGGAAGCAGAGGGCAACUCUCACUGGAAACCAAAUCUCCUGGCACCUUGAUCUUGGAUUUUACAGCCUCCAGAACUGAUAGCUGGGAGGCAUUACAUAGUCAUGUGCGAGGUCAAAACUGAGUCACCACCACAACCAAGUUCCAGCUGGCAAGAAGAGGAAAAAUAACACAGAGGAGUUAUGACCAGUGUUGUAAGGAUCUGGCCUAGAAAUGGCAUGCAUCUCUUCCACUAAUAUCCUAUUGGUAAAAAUGUAGUCACAUGGGCACACCACCUAUCUGCAUGGAAGGCUGGGAAAUGUUGAUCGGUAGGGCAGCCAUAUGUGUAGGAAGGAGAAAACAGAAUUUGGUGGAUACCUAGUAGUCUCUGCCAUACCCUUGACCAGAAAUUUUUCUUCUAAAGAAUUUAAUUCUAAAAGUUAUAGACAUUCCCAAAGAUAUACCUGCAAGCAUCACAGCUUUGUGUAUAAUUGCAAAAGUUGAAAUCAACAUGAAUGCCCAAAAUAGUGAAUUAUUUAAACAGAUUAUUACCCAUAUUAUGAAGAAAUACUCUGCAACUCUUAAAAAUAAAUGUAAUGUGCCAGGCGCAAUGGGAUAUGCCUGCAGGCCCAGCUACACGGGAGGCCAAGGCAGGAGGAUCACUUGAAAUCAAGAGUUCAAGUCUAGCCUAGACAACAUAGUGAGACUUGGUCUCUAAAAAAGAAAAAAAAAAAUAAAACUGAUGUAAUGAAUAUAUAAUUACAACAAAAGAGGUCUAACACUAUAGUAGAAAAGUUUGGGGCACUCAUCCCAUUCAUAAUUAUUUUACAUUUAAAUUACUGUUCCUACUUAAGUGGUGAGCUUGGUAACCAUUUUCAUAUCAGGUGAUACUGCUGCAGUAAUCAUAGCUGUUUGAAUCAGGAAUAAUCCCAAUCACAUUUUCUCUUAAUCGUUUAUUAUACUGGGCAUUGGGGUUGCAAGAUAAUGCACAGUCCGAGCUCAAUACAUGUCUUCAUGUACCUGUAUGUAAAUCCCACUUUUAUUCUAAAAUUCUUUGAAUAUUUUGUUUCUUGGAACCCAAUGAUCCUAAGAAAAUUAUGUACUUUUACCUGAAAAUUAAAACCAAUAUUUAUAAAAAGUGUAUAUGCAGUAUGAUACCACUUUUAAAAAAAGAUAAAUUUAUAGAAAAAAGUUUAUAUGACUGACAACAAUGUCUCUGAGUGGUAGGAUUACAGUUAAUUUUUAUUUUCUUCAUUCUACUUAUCUUUAUUUUCUGAACUUUCUACAAUGAACAUGUUUUAUUUUUACUUUUGUUAAAAUAAAUAACAUUUAAUUUGACGGAAAAUUCUAAAAAUCAACAUUUGGUAACUUAAAUAUUCAUUGGCACAUGAUUCUGUGCCUGUUUCUGGGGGUCAUUCCCAUGAGAAGAGCAGGUAGAACUUAUGAGAAUAGAGCAGUCGAAAUAUUAUAGGUUUCAUAUUUUACGGCUUUAUUGAAAACAUUGAUAUAUUGAAUAUUCAUAAAUUUUAAUUUAACUUUCUUUUAUAAUCCUUAAUGUGAGGCUAAGGUAUAAGGAGAAAGGAGAUUGGUAAGGAAGUGUGAUACAUAUUGAAUCAGGUGUCAAGGUACCAUUUGUGCCUGGAUCUGACCAAUAGACCAAGGUAAAAAUCUCAAAGAAUGAGACUUGUAAUGAGAAUGCCACAAACUUGAAUACCUUAUGCACAAAACACAAACAUUGUUAUGCAUAAUGUACAUGAACCCUGAAACAAAGAUAAUGAUUUGGACCACCCAACUGAAGUGGCAUGUUAUGUUUUUGGCAUGAACAAAAGAAACAAGAGAGAAAAAAAUCAAAAUAAUUAAAAUAAAUUGUUAGAGAAAAGUUACUUUAAAAAUAGCUAUAACGCUUUGCAAUUUCAGUAACAGUUCUGCCUCUGAUGCAAUGUAAAACAUGUAUUAGACAUUCAGGCUCCACAAUAAAUUUUAAUGAGCACUACAAAUUUAGAAUAUAUAAAAAUAUCAGUAACCUAUGAAUUCAUCAACAUAACUCACUUUUCAGUUAAGUUAGGCUGAGUUGAAAUUCUACUAAGUUUUCCCAUAUUCUUGAUAAAGGCUAAAUUUGAAAUAAUUUAUUUAGAUGACUAAUUGGCAAUUUGAUAGUAGUUACAUUUUAUGUAACACUUGAUAUAAUAACCCAAAUUAAUUAGCUCAAUAUUAUCUUCUGUGGUUUAUUGAUCCAAAAGUACAUAUUUGUUAUGUAAACUUAUACUAUGUAAACUUGAAUUAGUUUUUUGCUUCCUUGAAUUAAUAAAGCCCAUUAAUGCAAAUCUAAGCCUUCAUAGACUUUUCCAAUCCUUAGUUAAAUAUUAAAAACUGAGUAUUGUAGUUAUUUGCUAGGUAUAAAAGGUGACUCAGAGUAGAGAGUAAGAUGUCAGCAAAUAGACAAUAAGAUGUCAGCAAAAGUGCCUCAAAUUUUAACUGCGUCAAGUUAAGGGCAUUGUAAAUACUGUAGUUUUAUGUAGCUUGCAACUUCUACUGAAAUGAGUUUAAUCAUGUCUUUCACAUAGCUGAAGUUUGUGUCAAGAUUUAAGCUGAUUUUCUCAUUCUUAUCAAAGUCUCACCUGGGGGUAGGGAGGGGUAGGCCUACCUCCCACCUCUAUACUAUCAUUUUAGGAACAGACAGGCAUAAAUCUGUUCAUAUGGUAGAACACAUGAUGUUAGAGUAUAUUUUGUUGAAUGCUAUGGAAUAUUAAUAUAAUUAAUUCUAAAAUAUCACCUAAAAUAUGUCAACUGAAGAUCUGACUGUACUAAAUAUGAAAAAUAAAGCAGCACAUACUUUCUCUACUGUUUUCCUGGCCAUUCAUUGUCACAAGGCUUAGCCAGUCCCUGACACCCAAUACGCUACCAAUAAGCCAC
rnacentral:lncRNA from 1 species